rnacentral:lncRNA from 1 species
UUGCAGAAUGUGAUAUGUGUGUAUAAUGUGUAUGCAUUGUUCAUGAUAAUGACUGAGGUAUGCCAGAAUGCCUCCCAGCCUGAAAUACAUAGUCUUUGUGCCUGAAAUUUCCAUCUUUCUUCUAAUAGUGGGAUCUAGUGCUCUCAUUUGUGUUGUCUUUUCAAUUACAAAUGCUCCUGGGAGGGACAGCAGCUUAAGUCUCCAAACCUUGAUACAAGUGAGUUAAUUAUAAGUUUUCCGUAAGUUACAAGAGUAGUUUCAUAGUACUGAGACCCUGGGGAGGGUGAGAAGGAGCCUGAAACAGGGAGGCUGCUGAGUCUUACAGGAUUCCAGAGGGCUGGUCCCAAUCAAAAGCUGGAAUGCAGAAUGGCAUACCCCUCAAACUCUUCUAACUUAAAGCACGGUGUUUUAAAUUGGAUAGGUAUCAGUCAUUAAAACCAUCACAUUCAUAGAAAUUCAGUGUUUAAAAUUUGUAUUAUAAACACAGUUAAAUUUUUAAAAAUUUUUGUAGGUAAUAAAAUCAUUGUCACUUGGCCAGAAGCAAUGCAACUUGAGCUCAGGUUUUUGCUCAUGAUCCAUAACACGUAUAUGUCACAUGUUCUAUUACUCCCUAAAUCUAGAAAGAUGUGUUUCAUAGUGUCUCUGAUCUCAUUUCUCAUUUUCCUUUUUGAGUGGUCAAAAUGUCAUUCUGAGAUCCAACACUGAAUGACUGUGUGUGUGUGUGUGUGUGUGUGUGUGUGUAUUCAUUCAUUGUGUAUGUGCAUAUAUACAUACAUACACACACACACAUAUAAUGUUCAUUAUAUAUGUAUACAUACACACAUAAAACACAUAUCUCACAGCUCACAUAUCUUGUUCACGUGGCUCUUUCAGGAAGAUUCAUAACACUUUGCUUUACAAAGAAAGUUUUAAAAAGAGAAAGAAAAUGAAACGAAACAGUGACUGUCCCCUAGUGCAAUUACUGUGUCAAAUACUCCCCUAGGGAAAGGAAUUUGCUCUUAUUGUGAAAUAAAUUAAUAUAGAAACCAGA